AGCCCAACAAUAAGACAACACCU
rnacentral:siRNA from 1 species